CUGCGCCUUACUCGCUCUGUCCUCUGGACCCCUGUACCAGUGGUUGAAAACUUCUCACCUUUGUCUCUUACGGCUCAUUUGUGGCUGUGAGUCCUAUGUGUCCGCCCUGUUUUACAGAUGGAUAAACUGAGGCUGGAAGAGCCCUCUUUUACUCACAUCCUGUCCCUGAGAGGAGUCUGUUUCUCGGCGCCACCUGUCUGGAAAGGGGUACAUCUUGACCCUCUCCAUCACCCUGGCACGAUCCAGUCUGUGCCCCCUCCAGCCCACAGUGGGUGCUGCACACAUUGGCUUGUUGUUGACAGGGAACGAAGAUUAACUUCACAGAAGACCAUGCCGCUGGAUCUACACGAAGCCCAGCCACUACCCCUCAGGCCCUCUGUCCCUCCGAGACCCAAGGGCUGCUUCCUGGGCCAGGGCCAGGGCAUUCCAGGCCUCUCGCCCUGCCCAGCAGCCCAGCUGGCCUCGCAGCCCUCCCAGAAUCGCCUCGGCAGCUGUGGGGUGGCCGGAUGCCCCCUCCCCCCACGUCUCUGGGCCCCAAGCCCGGCCACAGGCUGAGCCUCGGCUGGCACUGCUCCUCAGCUUGGCUUGGGCAGGAACACCACAGGGAUUUUAAAAAUAAAGGGCCUUGAGACAGUGGCCUGGAUUAGGCAGCCAGGAGUGGGGUGGGGGCCAGGCAGGGUCAGUGAGGGGAAAGCUAAGGCUUGGGGGCCAGGCCAGAAAGGCCACAUUCUAUUUUCCAGCAGUCCUGCUGUCCCACAGGGUCUGCUGUCCUCCCCACCCAGCUUCUGGCCAGAGAACAUUAACUAAACACCUACUAUGUGCUGGGCCACUGGCUCCUGCCCUCAGUGCCUUCUCUUUUCUGUUCCCUUCCCCCACCCAGGCCAUUCUAGUCUUUCGCUCCCUCCUCCAACCCCGCUAACAGGAAACACAUCCAGAAAGGUCAAGAGUCCUGGGCCUCCAGAGUCCAGCGUCUGUACAGCACGGGCUGUCUGCGCGGGAGGGGGGGGGCUUCCUGUUUAUGAGAAGCACAAGGACCCCAGGGCGGUGCCUCAGACAGACAGGCCGGGGGUAGCCCCUGCAGCCCAGCUCCUGGAGAGGCCUCCACGCGCCCAGCCACGCCCUCUCACAUGGGGUUGGCGGGGCGGAAUCGGAGACUCUGGAUCUGGAAGGCCAGGCCCGUGGGAGCCCAGUGCCUGAGUGUCUGCAGAAAGGAUCCGGCUCCAGGGUCCCGGCUGGAGCUCCGCCCCGUGUAGGGGAGGCGCUGAGCCCAGAUCCUCUCCCCAGCUGUGGCCAGGCUGCCUCUCUCUCCAUCCUGUCCCCUUGGCUUCCCCCUGGGACCAGCAGGGGACCUCGGGCCAAGCGGUACCCCCCCCCCCAGAGGAAUCCUUUUUCGGGCCCCAGGUUCCAGCAAUGGCAGAACAGGGGUACAGCUGGUCAAAGUGUCCCUGGAGAAGCAAAUAACCCUGCCCACCCCUCCAGGCGCCCUGCCAAUCUGUCCUGUGGUUGCCCAACUGGUACUGACCGUAGGCCUCAGGGUCACAACCCGCAGGAGAAGGCGGGACGGAGGGACACUGGCCAGGUCUCCCCUCAUUUUGCUGCACAGGUGGGUGACUUCCAUCACGAGCCCUCCCAGUCCCAAGUACCUGGAGACAGACCUGAGGGUGAGCGCAAGGCUGUAGGUGCUGCCGGCAGUCCUGGGGUACCUGGGAGGCAGGUGUGAGGAGGCUGCCUUCUCUUCGGGGAAUCCUGAAAUCGGGAGAGUGUGGCUGGCUCAGGAAUGAGCUUGGCCAAAGCGUGGUAUUUCCCGAGAAAUGCAGUGACUCCAUGGCGUUCAGAAAGGCAGAUGAGGGAUACGGGACUUGUGGGGCUGGAGGAACAGACCUGGGAUUGAGGUCGCUUGCCUGGGCUGGGUGGCCCAUGGGUCUGAUGCCUUCUUUUGCCCCUGGCAGGGGCCGGUGGAGAGGCUGAGGUGUCCCAGCUCCAGGGCACCUGCUCAGGGACACCUCCGGGUGCUGGGCCAGGUGCGGGAGCUUCUGGCAAAGCCUUGCUGUGGCACUGAGGGUCCUUGGCUCUGUCGAGUUCCAGCGGUGUGACUGUGGGUGUGUCAUUAACCUGCAUGGCCUCAGUCUCCUCCUUCGCGGAUGGAACUAAAAGUCAUUGCCUAGGAGGCUGUUGGUGGAUGAAAUUAAUUAAUUAACAACUUUGCCAAGCACCUAGGCCUCCUGCACGUCCUGUUCCAGUUUGCAAGUGUUAUUCUUAGCCAAGGACAAGAGAAAGCUGGGUCUCCUCCAAGGACACUUUGACAGGUGUGGGGAGCAUUCCAUGCUGAUGACAGCAAAGAUUCGCUCCAAAUGUUUUCCCCGUGGGAAGUGACUCCAACAAGCGUCUGUUGUUUGUGGAUGUACGCUUCUAGCUUCUGACCCUGCCGCCCUCCCGGCAGUCCUGGGAUGCCGCAGUAGGGAUACAGUACCUGCCUGGUGUCAUCACCGUGUCACCCGAGGCCAGGCACAGUUCAGCCUACAGGAGUAGAGGAGACCUUGCUGCGCUGCGGACCGCGGGCGCCACCGUGUGUUCAUCCUGGAGCGGUGCGGAAAGAGGAUGCGGCCCAGACCCCACAGUGCAAAGAAAGAUCGUCACAGCCACUCACAGGGACCCACCGUCCAGCAGUCGCUCCACACACAUCCUUCCUCCUGCUCAGAGCCGCGGUACAAGGGAGUUAAUGCAUCAUUUUUCAGAAGAAGAGACUGAAGUUCAGAGAGGCUGCGACCUGCCACUCUGAGACAGCCUGCAGCUGCUACGUGACACCCUGCCCACACGGGACUAACCACAGGCGAAAAUCAGGUGGUGCUUGGGGGUGGGCAUGAGUCUGCAGACGAGGGUGACCUCGACUUCUCAGGGUCGUGUGGAAGGUGAAGGGGUGCAGGGGAGCCGUGAGGUGGCCCCUUCUGGUUUCCUGGCCCUGGGAGCCUCUCUGGGUCUGACAUUUUCCAAACUCCAGGCUUUUUCUCCCAUAUUCUCCCUGCAUGAUCUGUGCACACGUGUGUACACAUGCAUGUGUGCAAGUACCGUGUAGAUACACACGUGUAUAUCCUGUGUUCCUCCUCCACAAACUCUUCCAAAGCAAAUGCUGGCAACGCUGGCAUUCAACAUCCAGGUCUGUACUUUCAUUUAUUCCACAGAAUUACAUUUAAUAUUUUUUCCUUUGCUUUUGCUUUUUCUGGGGGGUCCUGGGG